rnacentral:lncRNA from 1 species
CACGUUACAUCUUUCUAUGCUACAUUUUUGUGAAACAAAUAACUCAUCAUAUCAUUUAUAUAAUAAGAUUUUUUUUUUUUUUUUGCAUAUACCAUGAUUUGAAUUUUUAAAAACGAAUACAAAUUGCUCAAUUUAUAAAACAAACAUUAUAACGGGUCAAGUAUUUUAAACUUGAGUAAUAUAAUGCAAAAACAUUUAUACUAUUUCUCCCAAGGCUAGCAUUCUUCAAAAUAUAUACAACAAA